rnacentral:rRNA from 1 species
GACGAACGCUGGCGGCGUGCUUAACACAUGCAAGUCGAACGAUGAAGCCGGGGCUUGCUCUGGUGAAUUAGUGGCGAACGGGUGAGUAACACGUGAGUAACCUGCACUUGACUCUGGGAUAACUGCGGGGAACUGUAGCUAAUACCGGAUACGACCCUCGGAGGCAUCUCCUGGGGGUGGAAAGAAUUUCGGUCAAGGAUGGACUCGCGGCCUAUCAGCUAGUUGGUGAGGUAAAGGCUCACCAAGGUGACGACGGGUAGCCGGCCUGAGAGGGUGACCGGCCACACAGGGGCUGAGACACGACCGAGACACCUACGGGAGGCUGCAGGGGGAAAUGUUGCACAAUGGGCGGAAGCCUUGUGCGGCAACGCCGCGUGAGGGAUGACGGCCUUCGGGUUGUAAACCUCUUUUAGCAGGGAAGGAGCGAAAGUGACGGUACCUGCAGAAAAAGCAGCGGCUAACUUCGUGCCAGCCGCCGCCGUAA